GUCCAGACUCCUACGGGAGGCAGCAGUGGGGAAUAUUGGACAAUGGGGGGAACCCUGAUCCAGCGACGCCGCGUGAGUGAAGAAGUAUUUCGGUAUGUAAAGCUCUAUCAGCAGGGAAGAGAAUGACGGUACCUGACUAAGAAGCCCCGGCUAACUACGUGCCAGCAGCCGCGGUAAUACGUAGGGGGCGAGCGUUAUCCGGAUUUACUGGGUGUAAAGGGAGCGUAGACGGCUGGUCAAGUCUGGAGUGAAAGCCCGGGGCCCAACCCCGGGACUGCUCUGGGAACUGUGCGGCUGGAGUGCGGGAGGGGCAGGCGGAAUUCCUGGUGUAGCGGUGAAAUGCGUAGAUAUCAGGAGGAACACCGGUGGCGAAGGCGGCCUGCUGGACUGCAACUGACGUUGAGGCCCGAAAGCGUGGGGAGCAAACAGGAUUAGAUACCCUUGUA
rnacentral:rRNA from 1 species